UCUUCAGUUUUAUUCUCAAAAGACUUAUAAAAUAAAAUACAUGACAGCCCUUGAUGUGAGGGAUAUUUCUGCCGUUGAUGCAUUUGAGCACUUGAUUGUACUGAAGCAGCGUGAGCCAUACUGUAUUGCUGGGAAGGAGAAAACGAACCAGCUGCACUGCUAUUACUCCCCACGACUGCAGAGCCACAGUCCAUGGAGUAGGGAGAAAUCAUUCCGGAGGAAGACCCUGAACCGGAGAGGUGUUGGUACUGGUGCCCAUCCACGUUUGUGUACCUAAAUCCGGCUCCGUAAGCGGCUCCACCUCUUCGGCUUCGGUCUCGCCCACUCACAGAGAAGUAAUAAUCCAUACUGUCCUUUCGGUAGGAGUUCCCCCCCGCGCUGCUCUGCGGCAUCUCUGUGACCGCUCGCCUGGAGCUGUAGCCAUGUACCGGAGCAUGCAGGUGCUGCUGCUGCUGGGCCCGCAGGUGCAAGUGCUGCCCGUGGCUCUGUAGGCUGGUCUGGGCCUGCUGAAGGGACACAUAGUCCUCGGAGGUCCUGGGGGAGAUCUGAAGGUCUGACGGGUGGGUCUGAUAUGGGGAACUGACUACGCCUGCUCCACGGCUGAACCCUGGGUGGA
rnacentral:lncRNA from 1 species